rnacentral:lncRNA from 1 species
GCAAGCAUGAAAUGUGAGGCAGAAAGAGUGGAUAAUGCAUCUCAUGUGGCCUCCAAAUGGCUUCCUGCCUUCCAAGCUGAUUUGUUACCAGGCAAGUUCACUUGUGAAAAAUCUCUCCAUCUCUGCAUCUGCUCUACUUUGCUUAGCUAUUAUAACCCGGCAUGUGGGUCCAGAAGAGAGUCCUCUGUGUUCCUCUCUCAGCGUGAGAUUCCCCUCAGCUGGCUCCAAGACUCGGAUUGGCAUCCAGAAACGGUCAGAGAACAAUCCAUGGCAGUGGAGAGGAAGAAUAGCUUGAAUAAAUUGUCCUAGAAGACAAGACAUAUGAGGAGCAGUUAAGGAAACUGGAGUUGAUUAGUCUGGAGAAGAGGAGGCUCAGUGAAGACCUCGUCACUGUCUACAACUACCUGAAAAGAGAUUGUAGUGAGGUGGGUGUCUACUUCUUUUCUCAGGUGACAAGUAAUAGGACAUGAGGAAAAGUCCUCAAGUUGUGCCAGGGGAGGUAUAGAUUGGAUACUAGGAAGAACUUCUUCACAGAGAGGCAUUGAAACAGGCUGCCCAGGGAAGUGGUGGAGUCCCCAUCCAGGAGGUAUUUAAGAGAUGUGUGGAUUUAACGCUUAGGGACGUGGUUUAGUGGUGGAGUUGGUAGUGUUAGGUGAUGGUUGGACUUGAUGAUCUUAAGGGUCUUUUCCAGCCUAAAUGAUUCAAUGGUUCUGUUCCAAAUCAGUCUCUAAGUAGCACGCCACAUCCUUUAUAAAAUGAUUUCAAGUUAUUCCCCAUUUUCUGUGUGAAGGAGAAGAGAACAUCCAGUCAGCUCUUACUGAGUAGAAGGUAAUAAAAUACAGUGG